rnacentral:lncRNA from 1 species
CAGAGCCUCUCAUAUACAAUUUAUCACCAUAAUAUUAUACAAUUUGUAACAAAGAUAAUCAGAUCAAUACAACAUAAUUAUCAACAACAUCAAGCUUAUAUAUAUAUAUAUAUAUAUAUAUAUAUAUACACACACACACACACACACAUCAAAGUUAAAUCACUAAGACCUUGAUACAGAUUUCAAUAACAUGUCCAAUACAAGGAGGGGGACAUAUACCUUACCUCCUACAUGUUUCUUAGCAUUUACAUUUUACAUACUACAACCAUCUAAAUAUUCUGACUAAUAAAUUUCAAAAUUCUUGCUGGUGUAGCAUCUUGAUGUGGACUUUGUUAUUCGAAGUAAAUUAUUGCUGUAGGUAUUUUUCAUAUCUCCAUUAGGGUAGCAAGCUUUCGUUUUUUGUGUUCAACGUCUUGCUGUUUGGAUAUAUUUGGACCUUUAUCUUGUGCCUGCACAUAUUAACACCACAUAUUAGCCUAUACAACCAGAAAAUAAAUCCAAAUAAAACAAUUUUUACUAUACACAAAACAUUUUCAGUAAUUGUGCAUUUGGAUGGGAUACUCUGCUGUAUAUACUAAAAUGAAAUAAGGUAGCAGUGAGUUCUAAUAGUUCAGCUAAUUCCUAUAAGCAUGAAAAGAGAAUAUUUGGAUCAGAACUCCAACUAGAGCAUCUUUAGGACAUCAUAAUACCAUACAAGUAUCACCAAUGUCAAAAUUGUCCAUUUCUCCAGAGAAUUAACCACAUAGUUUACUAUCUUUCAACGAAGCAUGUUCUAACAUUAAAGGAAGUAAUUUCUUUACAUAUAGAGAAUCAUGUACAUGAAAAUCAAGUUAUUGUACACAAUUGCAUAGUAGCUCAAAUAGACAAACAUGUUUCUUUUCUAGCACAACUCAAGGACUUCACUUUCCAACUAUUCAUUAAUAUAAUUGAGGUAUAAAGCUUGUUCACAAACUUUAAUAUCAUUCAAGUCAUGACAAAUAACAAUUUUUCCACUCGCAUAAUGCAUAUUUCCCUCUCCUUCAAAGCAACAAAAUUUCAUAUAUACUCUAACUACAUCCUUUUCAACAUCUGAAAGCUAGAUAUCAAUCAAAUUGCAUAAAUGAUAGCUCAAGAUAAAGGACAUUAGAUAGGAUGAAACUGAAACCAUCAAUGUUAUUGCCUUUCUCAAAAGUCCACCAAUCAUUUCCCACAUAUGUCUCUAUUCAAAUACAAUAAUUGUUGUAUAUUUCUAACAUCAUUCUUAACCUAAGAACUCCAACAGAAGAUGUUCCUUAAAAACUGCAUUUAUUUGAAAAAGAUCAACGAAAUUAUGAAAUCAAAACAUGCUAAAUAUUAUUGAACUCUCACCGGACUGAAGGAUUUUGGUGCUCAUAGAGCAACAUUAGAACCUGGGAACAUAAAACAUUUGAAACAAAAAAAAAAGUUGAAGCUUACAGAUCUAUCUGUUGUCUCUGGGUUCAAAUACGAAAUCCUUCACAUUCACCUCAAUUGUGAAACUCUCACAUGAUACACCUGCACCUAAGCUUGAGCUUGCAGAAAAGAUGCUUAGGAUAAGCUGCCUCAUUUCUAUCAAAAGACCACAGUCAUCAACUAUUUAGGUUUUCUAAAUUUCUUGUUUCUAUCGAUUAUUUAGGAAGCUCUAGCUACAAGAUCUGCUAAGCUAACUACAUUGCUUAAAGAAAACAUACAUUAAGGAAAUACACGAAUCUUCAAAUGUGUACAUCAAUACCAAUUUAACGUUGAACCAAGUAAACACCUCAAGAUUACCUAUCUAUAGGUUAGCAGGGAGUACUUUUCUUUCCUAACACAACACACCAUAGGUAGUUAAAGCCCUUUUUACUUGCUUAGCAGUGGUUCAACUUUUAAGAAGUGAAUAGUAUAUAUAAGCUAUCAGAUAACUGUUUUAUAUACAACAUUAGAAUUACCCCAUUCAAUCAGCAUUAUCAUCACUAUAGUGCUUACACAGUUCUAAAGAAAAAGAUAUAAAUAUUUACAAUGAAUAACUGAAUAAGAACACUUAAUGGGUCAACAAAAUUCUAUCAAUUCACCCUUUUUGAUAAGGAGUUGAACCAAUUCACCUUAUAAUAAAAGCCAUAGUCACAACCCAAUCCCAUAUUGCCUUAGUCCUCUAAACAAGUUCCUAGAAUAUUAAUGGGCUUUUUUAUAUCAAUGUGGUAGUUCAUAUGUAGUGAUUUUUGGUUUCUCUUACUUCCUCUGCUAUGUUGUCUCAUGCUUUGCAGCUUAAAGUAAAAUUUGGGAAAUUUCGGUGGAAAAAAUUGCACAUGAACUAGUUUAUUGCUUUGGAAACAUCAAAAGAAAUUAGAUAAUUUUGGCUAAAGGUUUUUAUUCCUUUUACCUUUGUGUUCAUAAAGACUAAGAUCUUUUUUACUAUAUAAGAGAUAAUUCUAUCAACAUUUAAUAUUUUUUCUCACAACACUUAGAAUACAAAUGUUCACACACUUGCAUUCAAAAUGACAUUUCAGAAGAGAAACACCUUUGUUACCUACAUUUUUUUAAUCUCACGAACAUAACAAGUAAGGGGAGAUAUUUUUAUUCCUCACCCUCCUUGCCCACCAAGCCCCAGAUUUGAACGAAACCCUAUCCAUCAUCAGUAUUCAGUAGAAUCGGCACCGAAGAUCGUCAUACUCAAUAAGAAAGUUUUCGGUUUUAAACCUAGAAAUAAGAGAAAGAAAGAAAGAUAAGACAAACCUGUUCAUAUAGACAAAUCUUGUUAUCGCCGGUUUGUGAGUCUUCAGUCACUUCAGAUAGACCGUAGACACGUCGUGAGAAAUUCCUGGAGAAAAAUAUGGAAUAGCGAUUUGUUAGGGUUUCAGUUUGGGGAAAAUUAGAAGGGGAGGAGGAGGGGGGAGGGCUGGUCUAAUUUUUUAUGGAUGUAUCGAAGGGACUUGGGGGAGGUUUAAUAGGACCAGAUCUUUGUCCUUUCAGCGACCUGGUGUUGCACCCUUCGUUAGUUUAGAAACCAAAAAUGAGGAUUAGGGACCAGAAGAAAAUCUCGACGCAAUAGGCGUACUUUUAGGGACGGAAUUUUAACUCUAAAAGUUGGUCGCUAAUAAGUCAUUUUCUUGUAGUGUUUCUUAUAAUGUCAAAUAUCUCUUGGAGAUGCUCCAGAUGAUCUUUUGCAUU